CAGCUGGAGAGCCCAGCCCAGCAGCAGCUCACAGCCAGGCCCAGCUGCUGCUGGUCUCUCCCCAGGCAAGUCAAGGAUGAGGGGCACUCCAGGGCAGGAGGCAACCAGAUAUCCCAAUCCAAAUACCAACACAAUUCUGCUCUUUCAAGAAUCCAGCUGUGGUGUGGCAGACCAGGUGACAGCUCAUGCCAAGACCCCUAAGUCUCAACUGAACACUGAUCAGUACGUAGCUGGAAGCCGUCUGGCUCACCUGUGGGUUAAUAUUGUUAAAAAAGAAGCCCAGGAAAGCAAGGAGCAUCAAUCAAGCUUCAGAAAGCUGCCAGGCGAACAGGAGAUGAUGGCUUCUUUAAGGCCCCAAUGAGAAGUCCAACAUGGCAGUCCCCAGCAGCAGAACUCUAUGUGACAGUGGUGCCGGAACAGGGGUGGGGCGGGGACCAUAGUCCAUCCACUUUUCCCCAUGGUGGCCCCAGCCCCAUCCCCCUGGCCAGGCCAGCAGCUGGUAUGGGCCAUGCAAACCCUCCACCUGCCUGCAAUGCAGGGGGGCUGAGAGCAGCCCCUGGGCUGUGCCCCUGCCCAGCCCAGGGCAGGUAGAGGUGGAAGGUCUGCGACUCCGUGCCAGCUCCUCACAGCUGCCUGCGGGGUUCUUCCCGACCCAGCUCUGGCUGGGAGGGGAGCCUCAGAGCCACAGUCUGGCCAUGGGAAGAGCAGCGUGGGCAGCUGUGGGAAGUCUGGGUCCCUCCACCUGCCCUGAGUGGGGGGCCCAGGGCCGGGGGCUGCUCUUGCCGGACCCCCUGCACCGCAGGCAGGUGAAGGGUCCAUGUCACAGCUCUCCACAGCUGCCCGUGUGGCUCUUAUCAUGACCGGGUGAUGGCUCCAAGGCUCCUCCCACAACCAGAGCCAGGUUGGGGAGAGCUGUGCGGGCAGCUGUGGGGAGCCUGGGUCCCUCCACCUGCCUUGGGCGGGGGCCUGAGGGGCAGGGACACAGGGAGGGGGAUUGCUUUUGGCCUCACCCCGGGUGCAGGCUCCCCGGCCCCACUCCGACUUCUGGCUUAGCCAGGGGCGGGGUCUCCAGGGGGAAAGAGGACAGGGCCUCGGGGAUAGGGACACCUGCCUCCCCCCCCCCCGUUUUGGGAAGGCUCCGAUGCCUUUGCUAUGCAAUGGCCAGUGUUGCAGUGCAAAUCACAUCACUCCGCAGUAAUAAUUAGGGCUGGUGCAUUGACGCUUGCGGUUCAUUGCUGCGCUCGGCUCCAAUCAGGAAGCUCAGGCGACCAUCUUAUCAGCUCUCAUACACAAAACAGGGCUGGCAGGUCAAUGAGAAGCCCCAGAGCGUUGCAGGAAGUGGUGGUUGUGACGCAACAGGUGGCGCCCUUCCUUCAAGUCGGUGUUGAACUAAUGCUGCAAUGUGUCAGAUUAACAACGGUAGGUCAGCUUUAUGUGCAGGUAUCUGUGUUUUCUGAGGGGAACUAUGAUGGGGUGUGUGCCCCACACUGCCCCAUAAGGGAUUAACAGAGCCCUAUGGAGGCUGUGCAGGAGGCAGACAAUUAGAGAGGGGCUGGGAGAAGCAGCCAAUCAGAGCUGGGCUGGCCCAUAUAAGAAGGGCUGCAGAGCAGCUUCAGUCACUCCCUGGAGCUUGAGGAGGGAGAACUGGCUGCCUUGCAGGAGCUGCACGUUCACAGAGCAGUGCUGGGCAGGAUCAGGGGAGUGAGAGUGAGCUCCCAGCUGACUACUGGCAGACUGAGGCCCUGAGACAAGGGCAGAGAAGGUGCUGGGGCUGCCAGGAAGUGGCCCAGGGAAGUAGACUAAGGGGUUGGAGGGGAUGCAGCAUGUGGCUGCCAUCUACAGGGUCUCUGGGUCAGGACCUGGAGUAGUGGGCGGGCGUGGGUCCCCCUUGCCCCCACUCACCACUAGGGAAGUGGCUGGACAGUGGACUGCUGUGCCCACGGAAGUGGGGGGCACAGAGCGCAGCAUAGCCAGAGGGCUGUGUCAUGAAGAGGACGCUGUGGUCCUGGGACAUCCAGCAGGGGGUGCCGCAGAGGUGAGCCAGACCCCAUCACACUGACACAAAACUGAAGCAUGUUGAUUGUUUGUAAGUUGUCUUCCCCCCUCCUUUUCUGGGCUUCUGUCACUUUGACAUAUUUACAUGAAUAUAGCUGAAAGGGUUUUGAUACUAGAAACCCAUAGCCUCCAAUUUCAGGCCAGGUCUACACUACAGACCUAUAUCGGUAUAACUAUGUUGCUCAGGGGUAUGAAAAAUCCACACCCCUGAGCGAUGUAGUUAUACCAACCUAACCCCCCCAUGUAGACAGAGCUAUGUCAACAGGAAGGCUUCUCCCAUCGACAUAAUCCACCUCCCCGAGAGGCAGUAGCUAACUGUGCUGACAAGGGAAGCUUUCCCAUUGGUGUAGUAGCAUCUUCGCUUAAGCGCUUCAGCUUCUAAGAAGUUCUCAGAAAGUGACGAGAAGGUCAAGCUUUUUGGUUAUGCCCAUUAGGCUUGUUAGGAAACAAUAAGCUAGAGGAGAAGGGAAACGAGUGAAGUCAUGACUGGUUGGGGAGAGGGGUGUAGCUUGUGGCUGGAUUCAACAAGCAUUGGAUUUUGUGAGAGGAGUCACAAAUUGUUAGGAGGGCUCAGCCAACUAGCAUCUAGACAGUUCAGGAAGAUGGUCAGGGCAUCUGAUAAUAUAAGUUUUAUAUUAAAAGUGGUUAGCUCACUUUUCUUUCUUUGUUUUUCCUCAGUCUUCAGAGUGUUGAAUUCACUAGACUGCUGUUUCUCAUACUAACUGUAGUACAUGUGAAAGCUGCUGAUCAAUAUAGCAAAUGAAUUAUAAGCAUUUAGUUAUUACCAAACAUCAGUGUCGGAAUUUCUCUAAUUCAGCGUGCCUUAAAUUGAUGGGAAACAAGUGACUAACUGGCCUGAAAUAAUGAACACCAAAUUCUUCUAAUGUAAAAGUUCAUAAGUGUAAGAUAGAAAAGAUUCAUACUCGUCUCAUGAAAUCUGCCAGAAAUAUCUCUUUGGAUUCUUCAAGAUCAAAGGCGUCAUUGAACGAAACUUUGUCUACCAAAGCAGAAGAACAAAACUAUGAUGAAUAUGAAGAUUCAGCAACGACGACCUUUUCAGAGCCCUCAUUCUCCUCAAAGAACAGCUGCAAUGAUCAUUUAAAUCCCUGUUCCAGGCUCUCUUAAAGCUCUCAACUUCAUUAAAGAGCAGUCUCCUUUUGCCUUUAAAACCACCCAAAAUCCAGGACCAAUCUGUAAUUAUAUUGUGGAACCACAUAAAGAGGCAAAAAUAAAAAAAAACUAUUUGAAAAA